rnacentral:rRNA from 1 species
UACAGAGGGUGCGAGCGUUGUCCGGAAUCACUGGGCGUAAAGGGCGCGUAGGUGGCUUCGCAAGUCGAUGGUGAAAGCUCGGCGCUCAACGCCGAGUCGGCCCUUGAUACUGCGAGGCUGGAGCACUGUAGAGGCUAAUGGAAUUCCGGGUGUAGCGGUGGAAUGCGUAGAGAUCCGGAAGAACACCGGUGGCGAAGGCGGUUAGCUGGGCAGUUGCUGACACUGAGGCGCGACAGCGUGGGGAGCAAACAGG